CAAAGGCUCUUUUAAGAGCCACAUAACGAGAGCGUCUUUGGCUUUUGGCACCUACAUACAACCCAAAGGCUCUUUUCAGAGCCACAUCGCCCAGCGUCCUUGGCUUUCAACUACAUACACCCCAAAAGCUCUUUUCAGAGCUACUCGCCCACCAUCACCCAGCAUUGUAAGUACGUUUCAACUGUCAGACAACUUCUAAUUAUUUUGGUGUAUAUCAAAUUAAAGCUACAUUCUGCAACAAGUCUGAAUCAUCGUUGACUUACAGACAUGAAACGGGUUGUUCUUCUAAAAUACAAUAUAGAAUCCUGCAUUUAUGAUUGGCCGUGCUCAUUUAAAGGCAGGCUUACACGGUGCGAUUUUUGCGGUCUUACAAGCUCACAGGCGAUUAUUUUU